GUGGCUAGCCGCUCGCUGUCUGCAAUACGCCUUCGCUACAGAUGGGGAAAUCACCCCACAGAAUGAGGGUGCAAUUAAUGCUGAACAUCCUCGGGUUUGCUGGGGUGGCCCCGCUCGCUCCGCCCUUGGACCGAUGGUUAUCCCAGUCCACUGUGGCAUUUUGCACGUUAAUAGUUACGAAUACGUUAUGGAGGCCUCUCCGCCUGUAGAACCUUGCUCUGCCUACCUUUACCUCUGCACCAUUCACACAUUCGCCUGAAGGCUGCCACGGCUGACCCUCUUACUUCGCGCUGCAGAACCCACCUUGCAACUUUACAAAGUCCCACUGGGUGUGCUGGACGACGGCUCCUACCUGAUUGCAGCUUACCGACCUAAGCGGAGCCUCCACUUCUGGGCUUUGAUAAGGGGGGCCUACAGCGGAUUGUCCCUGUUGCUGAGAACCCAGGUGGACUGACAUAUGGGAGCCACCGGCAGACCGGUAGCUGAGAGGUUCCUUGCCUUUCGUCCCCAACAGACACACACACACACACACACUCUCAUAGUACAGUCACAUUGCUUUAUCCCAAAGUACAGCAAUACCUAGGAUAUCUCAAUGUGGUAUACUAUGCAUAUGUUCUCUGAAGUUAGACUUAUACAGGC